UACGUAGGGUGCGAGCGUUAAUCGGAAUUACUGGGCGUAAAGCGUGCGCAGGCGGCUUGCCAAGUCAGAUGUGAAAGCCCCGGGCUCAACCCGGGAACUGCGUUUGAAACUGGCAGGCUAGAGUUUGGCAGAGGGGGGUGGGAUUCCACGUGUAGCAGUGAAAUGCGUAGAGAUGUGGAGGAACACCGAUGGCGAAGGCAGCCCCCUGGGCCAAAACUGACGCUCAGGCACGAAAGCGUGGGGAGCAAACAGG
rnacentral:rRNA from 1 species